UACGAAGGGGGCUAGCGUUGCUCGGAAUCACUGGGCGUAAAGGGUGCGUAGGCGGGUCUUUUAAGUCAGGGGUGAAAUCCUGGAGCUCAACUCCAGAACUGCCUUUGAUACUGAGGAUCUUGAGUUCGGGAGAGGUGAGUGGAACUGCGAGUGUAGAGGUGAAAUUCGUAGAUAUUCGCAAGAACACCAGUGGGCGAAGGCGGCUCACUGGCCCGAUACUGACGCUGAGGCACGAAAGCGUGGGGAGCAAACAGG
rnacentral:rRNA from 1 species